AGUGAACGCUGGCGGUAGGCCUAACACAUGCAAGUCGAACGGCAGCACAGUAAGAGCUUGCUCUUACGGGUGGCGAGUGGCGGACGGGUGAGGAAUACAUCGGAAUCUACUUUUUCGUGGGGGAUAACGUAGGGAAACUUACGCUAAUACCGCAUACGACCUACGGGUGAAAGCAGGGGAUCUUCGGACCUUGCGCGAUUGAAUGAGCCGAUGUCGGAUUAGCUAGUUGGCGGGGUAAAGGCCCACCAAGGCGACGAUCCGUAGCUGGUCUGAGAGGAUGAUCAGCCACACUGGAACUGAGACACGGUCCAGACUCCUACGGGAGGCAGCAGUGGGGAAUAUUGGACAAUGGGCGCAAGCCUGAUCCAGCCAUGCCGCGUGGGUGAAGAAGGCCUUCGGGUUGUAAAGCCCUUUUGUUGGGAAAGAAAAGCAGCAGGUUAAUACCCCGAUGUUCUGACGGUACCCAAAGAAUAAGCACCGGCUAACUUCGUG
rnacentral:rRNA from 1 species